CUAGGACAUAAUUACUGAGCACCUGCCAUGUGCCAAGCCCAGAGCUAGCUGCUUCCCAUAAGUUAUCUUGCUUGCCUGACAAUUUAGAGUAGAAUCUAAAUGCCCAGGACAUGGUGCUGAUGAUGUGAGGACAGAGAGGGAGCAACCUUCUUGUGAUCAUGAGGAUGAGAGUCAUAUGAAAAGCAGCAGAGGGAAAAAUACAAGGAGCAUGAGACCCGGAGGGAACCACCAAGCCAGCCCUGGACUUUCUGCCUCUGGACUUUUGACCUGUUCUUCACUCUUACGUGCACACUCCUCAAGGGCAGAGGCCAUAUCUACAUCAAUGAAUGAAUGAAUGCUCAUCUCAUAAAACAUACUGUGAGCUUAGAGACUAUGCUUUUUGCUGAAGGAGAUGUCUGAAGAGGAAAAGCCAUGAGAGGACACAGUGAGAAGGUGGCCAUUUACGAGCCAGGAUGAGAGCCCUCAUCAGAAACCGAAUUUAGUUGCACUUUGAUCAUGGACUUCUAGCCUCCAGAAUGGUGAGAAAAUAAAUGUCUGUUGUCUAAGCUA
rnacentral:lncRNA from 1 species